AGAGUUUGAUCCUGGCUCAGAAUCAACGCUGGCGGCGUGCCUAACACAUGCAAGUCGAACGAGAAAGUGGAGCAAUCCAUGAGUAAAGUGGCGCACGGGUGAGUAACACGUGACUAACCUACCUUUUAGUGGGGGAUAACCUAGGGAAACCUGGGCUAAUACCGCAUAACACUUACGAGUCAAAGCAGCAAUGCGCUGAAAGAGGGGGUCGCGGCCGAUUAGCUAGUUGGCGGGGUAAUGGCCCACCAAGGCGAUGAUCGGUAUCCGGCCUGAGAGGGCGCACGGACACACUGGAACUGAAACACGGUCCAGACUCCUACGGGAGGCGAC
rnacentral:rRNA from 1 species